rnacentral:rRNA from 1 species
UACGUAGGGGGCAAGCGUUGUCCGGAUUUAUUGGGCGUAAAGAGCGUGUAGGCGGCCAUACAGGUCAGCUGUGAAAACUCGAGGCUCAACCUCGAGACGCCGAUGGAAACCAUCUAGCUAGAGUCCGGAAGAGGAGAAUGGAAUUCCUGGUGUAGCGGUGAAAUGCGCAGAUAUCAGGAAGAACACCCGUGGCGAAGGCGGCUCUCUGGAACGCAACUGACGCUGAGACGCGAAAGCGUGGGAGCAAACAGG